CCAGCACUGAACCUCGUCUCCGUCGACGAGUAGCUGAGUCUGGCAGCCGCACCGAUCCCAUUCCUGCGGACCCACAAGAGGAAGAACGGCGUAUUGCUGAGGACAUCAUUCAUAAGGUCAACAAGUAUGCACUACCAUUGAGUACAACUCUACGGUGCAACCCUAUUAGUAUCUACACGAAGGUCGGCAGCCGAGUCCUUGGGUUGGCUCGUCAGCACACCAGCCCUGGCAACCCCCAACCUGAGUCCACGUUUGGACCAGAGAGGCCUACGGCGGGCACCAUGCAAGCUUCUCUUUCGGAGCAACCGCCCUCAACGAUACCCGCCUGGAACCUGGAAGUCUGAUGCCGUCAUACCACCCUGGCAAGUUUGCAGAGCCACCAUAUGGAUAGUUGACGGACAUGGAGGACAAAUCCCCGUCCCUGCCGUCAUCGAUUCUGGGGCUUCUCAUAGUGUUGUUACUCGAGACACACUACAGCGCCUAGACCUGCUACACCUGAUGGAGGAGAUGGAGGUGACGUUCCUGAAUGCGGAUGGCAAUCGUGGUCGGGCCGCUGGACAUGUCAGUGAACUACAAGUGUCCACUGGCGACCUAACGAUGCUGCUGAGUCUGUUCGUCAGCACUGCCCUCAAUUAUCAGCUACUCCUGGGCACCGACUUCCUCUACCCAAUACGAGAGUGGUCGUCUGGAAUACACCAAUGACCGUGUAGCAGGCUACAUUUCCCUUAGAAUAUUUCAACAAUUACUUUUAACAAUAACUGUUAAUUCGUUAACGAUUCGUCUCAAGUUUCGUACAUGUUACGAGCUUCGUCACAUGUACCGAACAUGGCGGUUGUUCGUAAGCGAACCUAACGGGCUGGGGCCCCGGGCCCCACCAACAUUAUCCUAGUACGGCAAGUCCGUGGUAGGGAAUCUCCGGCAGGUAGGCCGAGAUAUAAGCUACCCGGGCGGGGUGCUCUGGCCAGACACUGACGUAUCACAUUACUAGGUGUUCGGAGUUCAAGACUCCGCUGCCGCCGUCUCUGAUUGUGUUCGUACGCGUCUAUGUACGCUAGUGCUUGCCGCUUGGUUGGACUUCUUCCCACUCCGGCGAGGACUGUAAACUCUACGCUUCCGCUAAGUCAGUCGACCCGCCAGGUGAGCGACUGCUACAUUGGUAUCGAGGGUCAAGUUCGAUCCUCCUUGACGCGAUGCGCUUCACUCCUGCCGCGCGACGGCGUUUGGCUAGACUUUUUCUUAAAUUUCAACGAUCUUAUUAACGACGCCGUGAAGCGCUCCUUGCUAACCAGAACCAGGCCCCUUCCAAGUCCGAGGCUCAUGAUUCUGGCGAUCAAGACGUAUGCCCUUUGGCUAUUCCAAUUAAUGAACAUGAUAUCAAUAAUAUUCCUGUUGCCAAUCGUGCACAGAUGGACGUCGAUCCUCCUACGGAUCCGACUUCGGAUGCCGUGCAGCGCGGUUCGCCUUCUACGGGCGGAUUACCGGCGUACGAGCCGGUAAUCCGCCCCGUACGCCGGCCCAGGCUGCGGCAGCCGCACAUGUUCAAGAAAUGCUUCGCGCGGCGCGCGACAACCAAGUCCCCGCUCUUCAAGCGGAAUUAACGACCUUUAAGGGUGAGGUGGAGGGCCUUUUCGCCGAGUACGGUGAACGUUUGGGCGAAAUCACCUCUGUCCUGAAGGAUCUCCAGACGCAACUUCGGGACGUGUUACCUGCGUCGCCUGCUCCGAGUUCUUCGGACACCCGGCGCAGAUCCAUCAUUCUCGAUGGCAUUUGCGAGAUGCUGGACAGCAGCAUCGCCUCAUUCCUUGAGGUUGACAUGCUGCAGAACUGCGCGUUUCAAGUGCUUCUCCAGCGACACCUCAACCCCGAAGUACGACUGGAAGAAGUCAAGCAGCUUUGGAGUGAGGGCGUGGCUAAGAAAGCCGGUGGACCUUCCAGCUCGGCUGGCCCCUCUUCCAAGACCGCCCGAACUACGGAGGUAAAUAAGCGUAUCCUUGCACCACCUCGUUUUAGUGGAAAAAAGGAUUCGCAAAUUACUAAUACGAAGACAUGGUUUGCGCUGCUUAUGCAAUACUUUGACUUGCCGCAAAUGGACCCGCUUGAGCACUUUAUGUUCUGGCUUACCGGCAAGGCUCAGGAGUGGGCCGCCGAUCUUUUCCUUAAGCACAAGUCCGGCGCACAACCACUCACCCGCGAUCUGUUGCGUGAUAAAUUCCUGUUACAAUAUGGGGAUGCGAAACGCGACACCGCGAUGGCCGCACGUGAUCGUUUGCACGCGCACGAAUACGAUAUGAAAAUAGACGAGUCCGUACCAGAGUACACGCAGCGCUUUUACGAUAUUGUUCGCGAAGCGAAUGAUAUGAGUGUUGCGGAUCAAAUCUCUUGGUACAUUAAGGGCCUAGUUCCUGCGCUGCGCAGACGAUGAGGGCAAGGACUGGCAGGAUUUAGAGAAACUCAUCAUGUAUGCUAGCGGUCAGGAAGUUCGGUGGAAAGCCGGAAAGGACAAAGCACAGCUUGCUGUGGUGACCAUGCAAGCCGGCCCGUCUAAGAUUACUUCCUCCGCUCGCCCUAAGAAUUCUCACCCUCGGUCCCCUCCUAAACAGGCCUGGGAUACGGUCCGUGCCAAGAAACAGAAGACGUCUACGUCUAGUAACUUUCUCAAGUGCCGGGUGUGCUCUCGUCUAAAGCCGGAACACCAGACUUGGGAGGAGCAUAAGAAGGACUGCCUUCGACACCUGCAGGAGCAGAUGGCUCGGCUGCAGGAGAAGACGUCCCGUUUUAACGCGAACAAGCAGAAGGAUUAGGACGCUGGCAAGCGCGAGGGGGUGUCUUGUAAGCAGGCCGUUGGUGCUGUAGCACGAGUAGACCAAGUCUCUCAAGACGAGCCUGACUUGACAACUAGGGACUUUGUUGUUCCGCCCGUUUGCGAUCCGUUGAUUUGUGAUCGGAUGUUCCUUCGUGAUGAAUUUCGAAGAGUUGAGAACGAACUUGGGCGUCAAUUUACGUUUGAUGCCGCUUGUAACGACUCGGGCGACAACAGUCUCUGUUCGCGCUUUGCCUCUCCAUCCAACUCGUUCUUUGAUACGGACGUAUCUGGCGAGUUUGUUUGGAUCAAUCCCCCAUACACUCAUAUUAAAGAAUGGCAGCAGCAUUACCAUCGCUGUAAGCUAAAAAGUCCUCAAACAACUUCUGCGGUGUUCGCCGUUCCAAAAUGGACUCAAGUCGAGUGUCUUAUGCGUUCCGCUGGAUACCAGCUACUCAAAACUUAUGCUGCUGAAACACAGUUGUUCUCACAACCAGCAGAAAUGGGAACGCGUUCGGACUUGCCGGGCAUCCCUUGGCCAGUACAGCUUUGGUAUGACCCGCCGUCCAAAUCGGUGCAGCUUAACAGCUUGGAUAGCAAUGGCCGCACUAUGCUUUUCGAUGCUCGCUUGUGUCAGACGGCUUGCAAAGUUCUUGCCGAUUCCGGUGCCAAUUGCGGCCGGGUUGCCGACGGCUUCAUUUCUCUUGAAGCUGUCCGCAGGAUGGCUCUUUCUGUCCGUCCUUGCACUAUAUCUACUGUUCGCGUCGCGAAUGGUACUCAAGAGCUUAUCAAUGGCUCGAUUACCGCUAAGCUCCGUAUAGGCUCCUUUCAUGAAACAGUCACACUACUUGUUUUAAAGCAAGGUGUUCCAGGCGUUGAAGUUAUUCUCGCUGAUGGCUGGUUGGAGCGGACGAAAGCGAAAAUGUGUUGGGAAUCACAUAUGCUUACGGUACGGAAAGCUACCGGCGGUACUGUUGUCCUGAAGCCUUCCUUUUGGCCUUCGGAAGACGACAACGAUCACUUGGAUGGUAUUGCCAUCAUGAAUUACGUUACCGCCACUCUCUAUGCUGCGAGUACGGUGGAAACGAUGUCAGCUAAGGCAGCUGCACGGAGGAUUGCCAAAGGAGCACGAAGCUAUUUAAUGCUUGUGCAAUCUGAGCUCAUUUCUGAAUCCUCGGCGUUUGUGGAGUCACGUUCUCCCGACACCGACGUAAUCCCCGAGGCAACAUUGCAAGGGUUGCUUGACGAAUACAAGGAUGUAUUCGAAGAGCUCAAAGGCCUUCCUCCAGAUCGCGAAGUAGGUCAUACGAUUCCACUAGUGGAAGGGGCUGUACCGCCCGCUAAACGAUCGUAUCGGUUGACUCAAUUAGAGCGCCAAGAGGUCCGCAAACAGGUCACCGAAUUGUUGAGUAAGGGCUACAUAGAACCCUCUACUUCACCUUAUGGUGCGCCCGUUAUCUUUGUGGAAAAAGCUAACGGCCAGGGCCUUCGCAUGGUCUUGGAUUACCGUGCGUUAAACAAAAUUACGAUCAAGCGGCGAUAUCCUAUGCCAAACAUUACUGACCUCUUCGAUCAACUCCAAGGGGCUAAGAUAUUUAGUUCCCUGGACUUACAGCAGGGCUACAACCAAAUUCGCAUUACACCAGAAGAUGUUGCGAAAACGGCCUUUAUCGCUCCGGGAAUGGGCCAAUACCAGUUCAAAGUGCUGUGCUUUGGACUCACAAACGCCCCUGCUACGUUCCAAGCGGUGAUGAAUCGGAUCUUCGCCGAACACAUUGGCAAAUUUGUGCUGGUGUACUUGGACCACUCUGGGAAAAAGGGGGGGUCGAGAUUCCAUAAAAUGAGGCUCUCUUUUUCCAUAGAAUGAGGUCCUAUUUUUCCAUAAAAUGACAUGUCCUUUUCCAUAAUAUCUCCACAAUUUUAUGGAAUGCGGCCACGCCCCACUGCCAAAAAAGGCGGGCGGUAGCCUUUCACCCCAGGAAGACGGUUGGUAACCUGUACGGCAGUACUACAGGGCCGAGAAUGGUGGGCGGUUACCUGUACGGCAGUCCAGCUACCUUUCACACCGGCGCUGACCUUUAAGGCAGUCCACAGUCAUGUUAAUCUUUAUGCUAUGUGUUGAAAGGUUACAGAGUAGGAGUUUUCUGGGCCCCUGGAACACAAUGUCAUUCCUAGCCACUAUACAGCACCGUCCACCAUGACUAUAACUGCUGUACUAACUGUGAGUCCAAGGCCGGUGACCCCUGUCGCCUAGGCUCCCUUCUCGUCCAUUCGCACCAAUACACUGCGCGAAUCUGGUCCAUCAAUUCCACAUCUCGUAAGCUAGCCAUAAUCCCCGGCUCCAGGCAAUGUCAUGGGUUCGCAGACAUCGAACCCAGGACUUUGAACUAAUGCUAAAGGGUGGCAGCAGCAUGGACAAGAAACCCAACCAAAAAUGAAGUACCAUACCGCUAUGGCCGAUUGGUGAUUUCUGGAUUGGUGAAAGUAAAAAACGCUUCUAGAAAUAAUCUUAGGGACACCGGGAUUGUUGAUACGGUUUGGUGUUACCCCCUCCACUUUUUCCCAUUGCCACCGAAUUGGUGAAAGCCGCCAACCGGACUGCCCCCCGUUCACUGUGGGCCCUCCGAGGCACCCCAGGCCCACAUCAACCAAUCUGCAGUCGCAUGUAAACGUUUCUAGAUGCACGCCGUCGCAUACAGCAUCGCGCGCGCGUGCAGCAAAGUGACCCUUAAACUCAUGCACAGUUUGUCUAGCCUGGAUCCAGAACGUACAUGGAUUGGUGAUGGCCGCCGCUCAAUCCCAGCCAGGAUUAUCCUGUGCUAAUGGAUUGGUGAUUUUCACCAAUCCAGUGUCACCAAUCGGCCAUAGCGGUACGGUAAUGCUGUCGUCUUGACCCAUGCCAGAACUCAUGCCAUAGGAAGUAAUCCGGCUUAAUUGCAUUUGUGACAUCAACAAUUUUAACACACAACACAAUACCACGAUUCUAUGGGGACAGGCUUUCACAUAUAGACUCUCCCCAAGAACCAUACACAUUUUCCGAUGCGUGGUACAUAGUCACAUUAGAAAGUAACUUGGAGAAUUCCAACAGCGCUUUUUGGAUCCGCACGUUUGAACCCAACGGCUGAGUACUUGCCCCAGGCAGCAGGCGUUGACUUAGUGCCACUCCGAACAGUAUUGUUGUGAUCCGCAAGUUUGAACCCAACAGCUGAGUACUUGCCCCAGGCGGCAGGCGUUGACUUAGUCGUUUCACUCCGAACAGUAUUGUUGUGAUCCGCAAGUUUGAACCCAACAGCUGAGUACUUGCCCCAGGCGGCAGGCGUUGACUUAGUCGUUUCACUCCGAACAGUAUUGUUGUGAUCCGCAAGUUUGAACCCAACAGCUGAGUACUUGCCCCAGGCGGCAGGCGUUGACUUAGUCGUUUCACUCCGAACAGUAUUGUUGUGAUCCGCAAGUUUGAACCCAACAGCUGAGUACUUGCCCCAGGCGGCAGGCGUUGACCUAAGUCGUUUUCCGCACUGCCUGGUCCAGAUAUGCAGACUGUAAACAGAUAGCUUUUCAACUGUAAUGGCACAAGCGCGUUGACCUGAGACAGCUCGUGUUCAGAAUCGCUGUUCCGAAUAUGCAGCUGAUACCGUGCAGGAGCUUAGACCAUGGUCUGUCCCAGACCGCGCACAAACAACAUGCAGCAGAUCCACCUUUUUCCAAAGCCGCAUGAACCAAAACCUCUGUGAAUUGCAGACCGCCCAGAGAGGAGCCGCCAGUUUAACUCCAGAUCCUUGUCCAUGUCCUGUGUGACAUAUCCCUGUGACUCCAGUUUGGGCAGCUCAGUCCAGAACCCUAUUUCCUUUCAAAAAGCAGCUGAUCUCAGUAUUAUCUAACAAAUGAUGUACAACUGUAGCCCAGGGAAAAGUCUGUCUGGAAGAUGUACUUGGAUAUUUGUACAUGACAUUGAUUCUGUCUGUCAUUCCGAAUAAUUAAUAAUCUCCUAGGAAUUACAUUUUUUCACCAGAAGGCAUGAAAUCUGACACAAAUGAGAUGGGAGUGGCCACUAGUCAACCAGGACAUGCAACCUCCUAAAUUGUAAAGGGUAGUACUAUACCCGAAUCCACAUUUUUUAACAAGGGAUGUGGACACCGAACACAUUCUGACACCCCCAAUAUCGAAAAGCAAACCGUUAGCGCUUAUGAGGCGAUUUAACAACGGGGACAACAUGCAGGACGCUGAUGCUGCAUUGCACAGCUGAGAUCAGCUGUGAUAUGCAUGCCCGGAUGAUGUGUGGCCAGUUGCACCGUAUGGCGCUACACUGAUAUGCAUUUCGACAACUGAGAUCAGCUGUGCAAUGCAGCUGAUCUCAGUUGUCGAAAUGCAUAUCAGCGUAGCGCCAUACGGUGCAACUGGCCACACAUCAUCCGGGCAUGCAUAUGCAGAGACCAAGACAGAAACGGGGCUGGCUCCAUCAUUGCAGUCCGAAAGCGACCCAUGCAGGAAGCGUAACAUUGCUGACAAGACACGAUACAUGUCAUGAGUAGCGCUACUUUAUCACGCCAACUUACGACAGCAGCAACGUGACAUACAUGCGUUCAGGUGACACACAGCAGCAUUUCUAAAAUGUCUCAAAUGAAAAAAAAUCCGGUAGAAGCAGGAAAGUCUACCGCAUGGAUUAACAGGCAGCUGCCACGCAACGACGACAAACAAACGGUGCUCGAAUGGUUAAUCAUGGAUCCGACUAGCUAAGCUUGUCCGGUUAACAACGGCGUUGGCAUAGUAAUGUCAUUCAAUAGUAGUUGAACAAUUCUGCUCGCAAGGAGCAGUGAACUGCAAUCGCGAAGGAGUCCAUUCUUGCGGACUAUAACGUUUGCAGACACUAUUGCUUACCUACACAUAAUGAAUGCGUAAUACAGUCGGUAAGUGCGCAUGUUUCAAUGACAAAGGUAUGUUCUGCGUAUCAUCCAGCAGACCACCACUGUUAGUCCAGAACGUCAACACAGUCAAGGCGUACACCUGUAAACUGUCGCUUUCACAACUGUUCAUGUACAUUGGCAAAUGCGUUAUGGCAUUACCUGCGGUUGCAUGUCUGUUGGCGUUCACUACCUGCAGGGCCAAGGCAUCCGGAGGUGAAAAAAAGGCAUGCCGAAUGCGAAAUGAAAUAAGCUUCAGUCAUGUUAAACAUAUGCAAUAAUGAAGGAUUGGAGGCGAUAGAAGGCACGCACUCAUCAGAGAAAUAAGAUGGCGGCCGGCUGGCCUUGUCCACGGAUAAGCCGCCUUGUGCCUAUUAGGAAUGCAAGGCCCUGCGCUGAUGGAAUGAAAUAUGAAGCACUGUGCUUAACAGUAUGAAUGUAAGUAGGUACCGAAGAUGCGAAUGUGCCACAUAUAUGAGGAUCGUUUAAGUGGGCCUUAUCCGUAGCAUCAAGUAUUCCCUGUGACAAUGAAUGUCGUUACCAUCGUGCAUGACCCUUAGCCAAUAAACUGUUGAUAGUAGCAACGAUGCAUUUCUAGCAAACAAGCAGCUGUUAAUCACGACAAAACUAGGGCUCUAAGAGGGGCUGUUACUUGGCGAGCCGGCACGAUGGCAUAUGACCUGUUGGAAGUAUUAAUAAUGGAAUCUAUUCACUUUUGGUAAUGACCUGUCAUAUUAGCCCGGCUGGGCAUCUUGCGCCCCGCUAGCUCAUAUGGAUGCGUUGCAACGCAUGCGUUAUGAUUGCGCAAUCAUAUGACCAAUUGGGCAUGCAUAAUCCGAGACAUAUCGUGGCACUGGCUAUGUUGAGUCAUAAAAUUCUAUCUGCCCGUGACGGUCAGGUAUUCAUGCAGCUUGUGCUGAGUAGUAAAAGUGUCAAGUUCCGCACGUGAGCAGGGGCAUCCACUGUAUAAAACCGGAGGCGACAGAUGGUGUACUGGUACUGAAGCGGGUAUGGCGGGGGACCUGUGUGUCAAUCACCUUACAGGCCUCCAGUCUCCCAGUCUGGGGCAGGCUCCCACUCUGGCCUGCACCCUCCCAGCCUCCUAGGUCUGGCCAACCUGGCCCCAAGCCUCUCAACCAAUGCCCUUUGCAAACUCCCAAACUCUUGGGAUCUCUGCCUCACAACUUCCCAGCCUCACAGUCCCCGAGUCUCCCAGACUUCCAGGCUCCCAGACUAGUAACCUCCCAAACUCUCAGGCUCCCAAACUCUCAGUACCAAGACUCACAGGCUCCCUGGCUCCUAGCCCCCUAGGCUCCUAUUCUCACAGGCUCCAUAUCUCCCAGGCUCCCUGGCUCACAGUCUCCCAGGCUCUCAGUCUUCCAAACUCCCAUGCUCCCAGGCCUCUAAAUUCCCAUUUCCCAGCGGCUGAUAGUACACACUAUUCCUACUCAUAUUGGCCUCCACGCUGGACAAGAAAGGUCGCUGCUGCUCAUUGUUUUUGUUGUUGCUGAUGAUGUUGCUGGUCAUACACAAGCCACGCUGGUCACUACGUGAUUAUGAAUGGUGUUACUAAUGCACAUGUCAUGAAGCAUCCAAAACAGCUGCAUGAGCAGCAGCUUUGCGGAGAUUCUCAAGGUACUCCACGGGGUGCAGAUAACGCUGGCCAAUUCUGUUGCAUGAAUUCAAAGGCAGGAGAGCAGGAGCAACACACACAGUGCAAAAUGAGUAUUGGCAUGUAUGUGGGGGCCUUUUCACAUACAUUCUAAACAUCAUAGCUUGACUUCAUCCAAACAUUAGUUGGCAUGACAUACAAGUGCUGCAGAAGAAUAAGGCUGAGCAGGAAAUGAGGAUAACCAUGCUUUAUGACUACCCAGGCACAGACAUUGUGGCAGCCCAGUACUCACUCCUCGGGUUUUUUGUUGUACUCCUCCACAAGGAACCCGAGUACUUCACGGCGCUUGUCUUCCGGGGGCAGGGUGUCCGACAUGAGCAUCAUAAUACGGACACGCAUGUAGUCACGCAGCAGAGAAGCAUUACUUGGUAGGAACCAGGUCUUGCACAUGAAUGUGCUUGCAUCCGCGGCUUCAGGUCGAGGGUCCAGCGCACGCACAUCUGUUUUGUUGUUGUUGGGUUUAGGGUGCAAACAUGGUAAUUGCAGGUCUACUUUUGUGUGUGUGUGUGUGUGUGUGUGUGUGUACGUGUGUUGAGUGUGUUGUGUGUGUGUGUGUGUGUGUGUGUGUGUGUGUGCAGACAUGGGUUUUCAUCCAAUGCAUUUGGUAUUGUGCAGGAAAGGUUGGAGCUGCCCUACUGGAGUACAUGUAGGUAAUCAUGUAUUCAACACAGCCCACCUUAUACGAAAGUUAGGGUUAAGGGGCCUACUAGCAUAAAUACAACAGUACCCCUACUUUUGACAUAUUGAACCUGCUUUUGGCUGUCACAUAACAGCUUCUGCCUGGUGAUACCAGUUGCAUCCCUGCCAUGCAGGGGCAGCAGCUGGUACAAACGAACAGGAGUAGCAAAACAGUUGCACUUCAGAAUAUGCCAAUCUUAACUUCAUGAUGGACUUAGGGUUUGGACAUGAUAGGACUUGCACACAAGACAUGUACAUUACCCACCUGGAGCAGAACUCCCUUUGCUCAAAACACAGCGUGGGUUUGCCGACAUGAAGAAGUCCACGUAGCACAGCAGGAACAACCCACAGUCUACCGUAUUAUUUUGGCUUGGGAUGCGUUCAGCCAUGCUGGUGCCAGGCACCUCACUCCAGUACAAGCCGAAAUCAGGCAUGUUUAUGUCAGCUGCAGCGAGUCUCUCCUUGCAGCUACGUGGUACCGAAUCCAGCCCUUCAUCUGUCAUCUUGCACUGCCACUCAAGUGCAAGGUAGCCGCGCAGCACCGCAAAGAUGGCUUGUGAAUCGUGUGUUCCUGGAGCCAUGUCAUUAAACAUCGUCAGUCGUUAAUUUAUAAUCCCCUAUGAUGGAAUGAAAUGACAGGGCUGCCCCAAUGGCUGAGGGACAUGUGUCAGCCGCAGCCGCAUAUUCACACCACCUGAUGGAAGGUUUUACAUGCCCUUUGUCCAUGUUACAUGUAUUCUACAGCAUGCAUUCAUGUCAACCUAGUAAACCAUCCUACUGACAUUGUGUCUUCAACCCUGCCGCAGGAUUACAUGCAAAACAUGCAUGUAAUCUGCUUCAAUUAGUAACUACCCUAACUUGCUAUCUGCCUGCAAAAUAUUUGUCUCCACACAGUCCACGUAUGCAAAUUGUACAUCCAGCAGCAGGCGUUCACGACCUACACACAUAUCCAAGUAACUUACCUUCCAUAGAGUUCAGGUGCAGCAUGAGGGGCUUGACACAUGUAGCAUCCUGCAAAACGCCACAUGCCUGCUGUGCCCCCACUGCAGGUAGCAGGUUCUCCUGAAUCCAUGUCGCGAUGCUGCCAGGAUGACAAAUAAUUACUAGCGACCAGUGUUGUUGCCCAUUGAUGGGCACGACAAUGUAGUCUUUGCUGAACAGGUCCACGUUCUGAACAUGUCAUGAAUGGGCAUCAGACAAUCAUUCGAUUGCAACACAAUAUUUGAAGACACCUGGAGUGCUUGUUAGGGUCAUGGUCGUCGAGUUAUUCUAAUGGAAUGACACAUACAAGGCCUAUGCAACUGGUCAACAUACCUUGGUCCACCUCUUCACCAGGUUGUGAUCCUCCUCAGCAAUCAAGGUGCAACCGGCUAAGCCACUGUGCUUCUCUAGCAGCUUUGUGAAAAAGAAGGGGCUGAAGAUGUGGAAUCGCUGCUGUACGUCUGCUGACAAGCGGCUCUCGAUGUACCUGGAAGUGGGCUCAAGCAGUGUUCCAUCAAACAAAGGACCCCAUGCAAACCUAUGUCUUAGGGUUGUACAUGGAGCACAGGGCAAGUAAUGCAGUAAACAGGUCACAGCACUUGAACCCCACCAUCCUUGCAACCUAUACUUGGGGUCCUGCACUCUAUUGGGGACAACUGCCUGUUGCCCUACCGACACCAUAAUUUUCCAACUUGUAACUGUUACAUUAGAGGUAGCCUCCUGCUUGCGGUUUGGCAUUCCGGGGAUGCUUUCAAACCCAAGCUUCCACACAGCAAGCAGCAAGCUUACUUCAGGAAAAAUUCGAUGCACGUGUCAUUCAGCAUUUCAUCGGGCUGUAGCUGCAUCAAGUCCUCAACCCUCACAGUGAUGCUUCCCACGCCCCCACGUGGGGGGAAGGUGCAGAUAACGCCGGCCAGCAUUGCUAACGUCGUGUCCUUGGUCAGCUUGGCUGCCCCUUGACCGCAGUACCGCUGCCAAAGCCACAUGUGAUGUUGAUGAGCCUGCCGACAAACCGGUUUGGACACAAUGACCGUGGGAUGAACUUUGCUAAGGCUGCCUUGGCACGAAUUGGUGAAAGAUGAUGACCAGUCAGUCAUGAGGUAUAAAGAGAGCGCUGCUGAACAAGGGCUACUGCAUAUGCGGGUGAAGUGCCCUAGUACGACCAUGCUAUGUAGCCAAGGCAAAGCAGAUUACAGAGCUCAUGAUCAGGCUUCGAGGAGUGGUGCCAUCAGAAGUGCACUACUAGGGUGCAUAUGCGAUCAGCUGCCUGUCUUCCACACGAACUUCAGCAGCUGGUUUGUCAGGCUGCUAUAGACGCAAAGCGCCCGUGUGCUAAACACCUUCAGAGUUCAGGGAGAACAUGUCAUGAAGCCGCUAUGUCCUGGCUUGUUACCUGCGUCGCCUUGUAUCCAUAUAUGGCAUUGGACAGCAAAAGAGAAGUGACAUGAACAUUUUUUGUAGGCAUGCAUGGCAACCGCCGACCCUCAUUAUGCUACUAUGGUGCGGGAUCCCUACAUACAUCUGUACAUUUGCUUGCCGCCUCUUCCUUUGCCGCCUUGAUCCCCUGCCGCCUUUACCCCUGCCCCCUCCUCCCCAGCCGCCUCCGCCCCUGCCGCCUUCACCUCUAUUCCCUUCCGCCUCUGCCCAUGCCGCCUCUAUCCCCUACUGCUUUCUCCCCCGCCGUUUCCUCCUGCCGCCUACACCCCUUCCGCAUCUAUCCCCUGCCCCCUCUGCCCUUGCCUCCUUGAUCCCCAGCCGCCUCCACCCAUGCCCUUUAAACCCCUCACGCCUCAAUCCCCUGCCAACUCCUCUCCUGCCGCUUCAGCCCCUGCCGCCGCCGACCCUGCCCCCUCUACCUCUGCCCCCUCCUCCCCAGCCGCCUCCGCCCUGCCGCCUUCACCUCUAUCCCCCGCCGCCUCUUCCCUUGCCGCCUCGAUCCCCUGCCGCCUCCACCCCUGCCCUCUAAACCCCUGCCCCCUCCUCCACAGCCGCCUCUGCCCCUGCCCCCUCCACCCCUGCCCGUGCCGCCACUAUUCCCUGCCGCCUCUAUCCCCCGCCGCCUCCUCGCCUGCCGCCUCCUCGCCUGCCACCUCUAUCCCCUGCCGCCUAAGCCUCUGCCAUCUCUAUCCCCUGCCGCCUGUGGCCCUUCCACCCCCCCCCUCCCACCUCGCUCCCUCUCUCUCCUGUUGAAAGGAAUACAAGCACCACGGUGCAUUGCGUCUGUGAGAGCCAACCCAUGCCAAGCCACUAAGGAACCCAUGUGGUGCAUGAAAACUUGGCAUGCACAAAUCCCCAUUCACAACCCCCUUUUCCUCCCCUUAUCCCACAUACAUCCCUCCCUUGUGGCCGUGAGCUCGGCCACAGUCUGUAACAGGCGAUGAAAGCAGAACCGCUGACUGCGGGCAUCUCUGCGAGGAGCUGCGGGUUGACCACUGGCGCUCUUGUGGCCCACGGCCACAAGUGGUGAGUCACUCCAAUAAUGAGCACAUUGGCAAAUGCGCAUUUGCAACGCUGAGCAUCAGGACAUGGAUUUCGGUGGCGGCAUAGCUCUCACGGUGAGAGGAGCUGUACAUUUAGCUAGGACAGACUUUGGGUUUCUAACCGACAUGUCCGUUGUACGACGGAACCGUGAGACCAGGACGCCCUCCCCGACCUGCAACAGCUGUUUGAAUCGAGCUCGAAGCUGUAAUGCAUAUUCACGUGUACAUGUCUUCCUUUUCUUCGCGGCCAGCUGUUGCAACACUCGAUUCCACGUCUAAACCAGUAAGCGCCUCGAAUUAACGUUGGCAAAUAUUUGAAUGACAUACAACCUAUUGAAAACGUCUGGAUAAGUUCAAUCCAAUUCAAGCAAGGACUUGACACCUGGGAAGGAACGAAUGACAUGGCAAAGCGAGGGCUUGCUUGUAGAGUGCAAACACAAGGGAUAGCUUUCGGAUGUAGCGGCGGUCACUCCAAAGUUGGCUUAGAGGCAUGGAAUUAUGAUACGGCCGAAAUUCCGCGGAAUUUGCACGUCGAGUCAGCAGGUACCGUGGCCACAGCGGAUCGUAAACGAUCAUGUACAAUCUUCUUUGAUAUACAUUUCUUAUGGCACUGACACUUCCUGGAUCGUAUGCUAAGCACGAUACGGCAAGGUACCACUGCAGCUGUCGGACAUGCGUGCAACGAUGGGAAUAAUUGUUGAUGGAGACACAAAUGACUUUGUUAUGCCAUUUCCUGUUACAAAUGAUGGAGAAGAGAGGCAACAACAGGAAGGGCCUUAUGGCAGUGCGAUACCCAUUUUCGUGCUAAGCUUGUGCUGAACAUCCAAAGCCAAGUUCAGCUUAUCAGAUUCAUGCACACAGUUAAUGAUGCCCCUGAGGACACGGGCCGUUGAGAAACGGUUUGUCCGACAGUUACGCACUGGGCGUAAUGCCCAACUUGCCAAACAGCUUGCAUUAUAAUGCAAUUAAGCUGGGUUAACUGGGCAUAAGGAAUAAAGGACGACGCUGGCGCGGCCAGAGGAUGACACUGCUGCCGCGGCCAGAGCUCCCUGAUGCAAUAAUAGCAAGCACUGUCAAUUCCGAAGCAUGUCCUUAAAAAAACGUGUUCCUCUAUUAAUUAAUUCCCUGGCCCGGUAAAAUGCAUUUUAUGGAAGGCGAGUGGGACACUAUGGAAACAAAGUACCGUAUGGAAGACGAGCAACGCUUUAUGGAAGACAGACUGAGGAUGGCACUCCUGACGUGCUGCUGCAUUACAAGCAAGAAGUGUCAAUAAAGAAGUAUGUACCUGUGAAAAUAGACAACAAAAACAAGUGCAGUUCGGGCAUUCCAUAUCCCCCCAGAAGUGCAUUUUACGGAUAGGGAACCCAUUUCAUGGAUAGGGAACCCAUUUCACGGAUAGGAAACCCCAUUUCACGGAUAGGAAACCCCAUAAUAUGGAUCCUGAACCAUUUAUGGACGAUGGCUUUUCCCAGAGUGGACGAUAUUUUGGUCUUCAGUAAGACCAAGGCCGAGCAUGAACAACACCUAAGGGUGGUGUUGUCCGUGCUUCGAAAGCACGAAUUCAAGGCAAAGAUGUCUAAGUGUCAGUUCAACCGGACCGAACUGCACUUCCUGGGCCACGUAGUCAGCCGUGACGGCUUGAAAGUAGACGAGCGCAAAGUUAAAGUUGUUAAAGACUGGCCGGUACCAACCGACGCCUCCAAACUGCGCGCGUUUCUUGGCUUAGCCAAUUAUUUUCGGAGGUUCAUCCAGGGUUAUUCCUCUCUCGUGGCCCCCCUCACAACCCUAACAAGUGCGAAGGUGCCCUUCCACUGGACAAAGGAGUGUGAUACUGCCUUUCAGGGUGUGAAAGAUGCCUUGACAAACGCACCAGUAUUAAAACUCCCUGAGCUUGACAAACCCUUCGUAGUUUGGUCUGAUGCUUCGCUGCAUGGCACUGGCGCCGUCUUGUUACAAGACGACCGACCCGUUGCUUAUACAUCUUCAAAAUUCAGCAGCGCGGAAUACAAUUAUUCCACUACAGAUCAAGAAUGCUUGGGCACAGUCCUGGCAAUGGAAGAAUGGCGUUGUUACUUGGAAGGUGCGAGUCAUGUCACCCUAGUAACGGACCAUCAACCUUUGGUCUAUCUGCAAGAGCAGAAAAGCGCUGAUAAACUUUCCAGAAGGCAAGCUCGAUGGUUGGAACGAUUGUCUCGAUUCCAGUUUACUUGGGAGUACCGCCCCGGACGGAUUAAUGUCGCAGACCCUAUUAGUCAGGUUCACGACAUGGUGCUAAAUGUGCUUACGGCCUCGCUGGCGGACAGCGACUUGGGACACCGAAUCAAAAGCGGGUACGACGGUGAUCCGAACCUUGCUAAAAAUAAGGUAGCCAAGCUGCAGUUAAAACGAAGGAAUGGAUUCUGGUAUCGGGGAAACCAGCUCUAUGUCCCUCACAACGCUGAACUGCGAAGAGACAUCUUGACAGAGUAUCAUGAUGUCCCAUACGCAGGCCACCGCGGUAUUGACCGCACCAAACAAGCGAUCGCACAAACAUAUUGGUGGCCAGGGCUUGACUCUGACGUCAAAGAACACGUCAAAUCAUGUCCCAUUGUCAGCAUAACAAGCCAACAAAUGCUAAGCCGGGUGGAUUACUGCAGCCCCUUCCCAUUCCAACGGAGGUGUGGGAAAGCGUGACAAUGGAUUUGGUUACGCAGCUACCGACAUCCCGCAAUGGGCACGAUGCGAUUGUAGUGUUCGUGGACCGGCUGAGCAAAAUGACGCACUUUGCUCCCACACACACAACCGCUACAGCUGAAGAUGUAGCCCGCCUCUUUGUGGCUACCGUCUUCAGGCAGCACGGCCUUCCAAAGAACAUUAUUUCAGACCGGGACUCUCACUUCACAAGCAACUUCUGGAAGGAAACAUUUCGCCUGUUGGGCACCCACCUCUAUAUGAGCACAGCUUUUCACCCGCAAACAGACGGGCAAACGGAACGCAUGAAUCGUGUUCUGGAAGAGACACUCAGGCACUACAUCUCACCCACUCAAGAUGAUUGGGAUGAGCAUUUGCCACUGAUUGAGUUUGCCAUAAACAACUCAAAACAGAAGGCAACGGGGACAACUCCGUUUUCCCUGAAUGGUGUUCGGCAACCGCGUGUUCCGGUUGACCUUCACCUAAAAACCAAGGUGCCGGCCGCUCAGAAGCAAGAAGCAAUGCUUCGCGAGCGUAUAAGCAAAGCUAAAAAGUGUCUCUUGGCUGCGCAGCAAGUCCAAAAGGACGACGCCGACAUGCAUAGGCGUCCAGUGCGUUACGAGGUUGGGCAGAAAGUGCUGUUAAGUACCAAAAAUAUUACAUUAAAAACCCCUGGAACCAAGAAGCUGAUGCCCAAGUUCAUCGGCCCAUACACGGUUGUUGCUCGCGUGGGCGAAGCUGCGGUAAAACUGGACUUACCGGCGGCCUCCCGCCUACACCCGGUCUUCCACGUCUCUUUGUUGAAAUUGUACAAAGAAGACGUAAAGCGACAGCCACCGGCGCCACUCGUCAUUGAGGGUGAACCGUAUUUUAUGGUCGAAGCCAUUGUCGACCAUCGUGAUGUUUCAGUCCGAGGGGGACGUGGAAAGACACGUCGAGAGUACCCUACCAAAAUGGAAGCGUGCUAAAGAACGUUCCUGAGAACGCUAAGAAUGCUAAGAACGGCUUAAGAAUGCUGGUGCUGCUGAGAAUGAUCUUAUGCCAGUCUCAAGCAUUCUUAUGACGGUUUUAAGAAAGAAUGGCUUUGAGAAUGCAACAGUGCGGAAAACUUAGCAGAAACACGCACAAGUUACAGUGGUUUGCCCCUUCCAUAUAUAGUUCAAGCAGGAAACAGAGAGUCAGUCCUGUAUUCUGAAAUAAGUUCAUAGUGCUGAAAUCAUCCACAAGACCGACCAUGAGGGCCCCUACUGCUCUGGACCCGCGGGUAAGGCCCUUCGAAAACUAGUACUGGCUGGCACCAGGAAGUCGCCCCAGUAUACAAGUGAAGCAGACACGCCCCAACAAUCAACUAUCCAACGAAGGAUUUAGUCAGUCAACGUAUGGAACGGGCCCCAAGCAAUUUCUGUCGAUUUGCAUAUUAAUGUGCCACUCCCAUUACCUAUUACUUCACAAUACGUCCCUGUGCACAACAUGUGCACAACAUUCAUUCGGUUAUCCAUCAGCCAUACCAUCAGCUGUACCUUCAUUGAGAAGCCCUGCCCAGGCCACGGUCCGACCAUUCGAGGGCCUGGGCGACCAUGCCCACCAGUCCCCACGAUUUGCCCUCCACUCCACCGAUGUGUUACUAACGAUUGCCCCUCAAGAGCAAGCCACAAGGGAUUCAGAGGUCUUGCAGCGCUAAUAUUAAUGUGCUGCUACCGUGACCUCGCCCAUGGGGUCUGCGGCUGCAGGGCCUCCCAGCCAGCCACCCGCAUGAAGCUGUAGCUUCUUGAAAGAACACACAGGGCGCCCCGCUUACUGGGAUGUGGCAAGAUGUGCACUCGGCAAGGCGCAACAUCCUCAGCCAGGUAGUAACGAGAGCCUGUGUUGGACACACUGGCAGCCCUUGCGUCCACCAAGGGGACAUUCAUGAACUGGUCGACUGCAACUUCGGCAUCACUGUUGUUCCCCAGCAGGGGAGCAUGCCAUUCGACCUCCAGCACCACAUCGAACUUAUCCCUGUUCAAUGGCGACCUGUAGCGGUACAAGCCCAGCACCUUCCCCGCCCACAUUUUGUCGCUGGAGUUGCAUCUCCGGGUGAUGAACCAGCAGGCCUGUGAUGUCUUAGGCUUGUUGCUAUCGAAUGCAGUGAGCUCCACGUUGUUGUUGAGCUUGAUGGCCACGAGCUUCUCCAAGAACCUGCCUGCGAGAUGUAUACCACUGAUUGGCUUUGACCCCAACAGCAAACCCGGCUGCACCCACACAUCUUGGCACCACAGCUCACUGAGGCAGCACUUGGCAAGCACCUACAGAUGCAGGCAAGAGGCACACCAGCAGAUAGGUACGUCACGGUCGCUCAAGGUGGUGAGUGUAUUUACCAAGUUGUAGCGAUGAAGACAGGCAUGCAUCGCAGGGCAGUCACACCAGGUUUCACACCUUGUUCCGCAUGGACACAGAGCCAUGGCUGUCCCGGUGCAACAGCGUCCUUCUUGAGUGGGUCCUUAGCCUCAUGUGUGAAAGAUAGUCGGACAGGAAUGGCCCCGGGGUCGUGUCAUCAGUCCACUGCUCCCACAGCCAGGCGGUGAAGACACCAAAUAAAUCAGAGUAGUCGGUGCUGUGGCGCAGGUAAGUCUCAUGCAUCUCCAGGAGGAAGCCUUCCGGAAGGUUCUCGCGCCAUGCCUGCUUAAAUCCUAUUGCAGCGUUUCCGGAGAAAGUGUCAACGCUGGGGCCGGUGGAAUUAGUGACUGUCCAAUACGCCUUCUGCUGAUGGGUCAACUUUCCAGCGGACACGGCGUCCUGUGGGGGUUCAAAAGUGCAGAGGCCCUCGGGUAACCUCUCAGCAGCUAGAAUCACCGACUCCUUAUGUAUCCAGCUGCGCAUACAGGUAGCCUCGGGGUACUGCUUGUUCUUCAUCAGCUUCACCAAAUGGUUCCAUAGUGAUUCGUAGCCCCACAUCGCGGUUGUGAAACUUGGCCCAAGGUGUUCAAUUCGCUCCGCGAGGUGCAGCAGCUGAUGCAACUUCAUGUCUAGCUCGCAGGAAGGCAGGUGAAUCUCCAUCAGUGUCACGGCACGAGCGACGCCAUGUAGGAUUGGCAAGCAGUCCUCCCGCGGCACGGCCUUGUCCAUCAGGAAGGACACGCUGCAGAGCAGCUGCAGCAUCACCUCAAGCUGAGGAGAACCGAUUCCAGUGGCGUGGCCAAAGAUGUAGGCUCCAUAUGGGCUAGCAAGAAAGCACUAUGUGUGCAUCUUCACACUCUUUCCGGGCUUGAAGAGGCUGCGCAGGCGUGAUCCGCCACCGUCCCUUGAGGGGAUGACUGCUGCCACCGAUCCCACAGCUGAGGCCAUCCGAUCAACGCUGGGUGUCAACCAUGGCGUCCCCUCCCACGUCCAUCUGUUGACGUUGAGCUCAUGCCUGCAAGAGUGAUGUGCACAGNNNNNNNNNNNNNNNNNNNNNNNNNNNNNNNNNNNNNNNNNNNNNNNNNNCAAGACGACCGACCCGUUGCUUAUACAUCUUCAAAAUUCAGCAGCGCGGAAUACAAUUAUUCCACUACAGAUCAAGAAUGCUUGGGCACAGUCCUGGCAAUGGAAGAAUGGCGUUGUUACUUGGAAGGUGCGAGUCAUGUCACCCUAGUAACGGACCAUCAACCUUUGGUCUAUCUGCAAGAGCAGAAAAGCGCUGAUAAACUUUCCAGAAGGCAAGCUCGAUGGUUGGAACGAUUGUCUCGAUUCCAGUUUACUUGGGAGUACCGCCCCGGACGGAUUAAUGUCGCAGACCCUAUUAGUCAGGUUCACGACAUGGUGCUAAAUGUGCUUACGGCCUCGCUGGCGGACAGCGACUUGGGACACCGAAUCAAAAGCGGGUACGACGGUGAUCCGAACCUUGCUAAAAAUAAGGUAGCCAAGCUGCAGUUAAAACGAAGGAAUGGAUUCUGGUAUCGGGGAAACCAGCUCUAUGUCCCUCACAACGCUGAACUGCGAAGAGACAUCUUGACAGAGUAUCAUGAUGUCCCAUACGCAGGCCACCGCGGUAUUGACCGCACCAAACAAGCGAUCGCACAAACAUAUUGGUGGCCAGGGCUUGACUCUGACGUCAAAGAACACGUCAAAUCAUGUCCCAUUGUCAGCAUAACAAGCCAACAAAUGCUAAGCCGGGUGGAUUACUGCAGCCCCUUCCCAUUCCAACGGAGGUGUGGGAAAGCGUGACAAUGGAUUUGGUUACGCAGCUACCGACAUCCCGCAAUGGGCACGAUGCGAUUGUAGUGUUCGUGGACCGGCUGAGCAAAAUGACGCACUUUGCUCCCACACACACAANNNNNNNNNNNNNNNNNNNNNNNNNNNNNNNNNNNNNNNNNNNNNNNNNNACUUACUGGCGCAGGUUCCACCUCGCCACCAUGGGUGGGCACCUGCAUUGGCAGUGUCCAAAGUUAUUUACAUGUGUUAUCCUGUGUGUUAUCCUGUGCACAGUAAUGCACGACAAACAUUGGUCCCUACCGGGGUCAUGGCCACGAGCUCCACCUUUGUCCGUACUGCUGGCCGAGGCUCAUUGGCUGUCCUUGUGAUAGACUGUCCUGUGGCAUCUGUGAUGGGGUUCAGCACACUGGCAGGCCGCCUAAUCGGGUCGUCACCGUCCAGCCACGUCCAUGCUCCGGGAUAGUUGUACUUGUGGACGCCCUUGCUGCCAGCUGUCCAGCACUUAUAGCAGCCAUGUUUUACUCGUGGUGCCCCUGACAUUCGCAGCAUGUCCUCGAUGGCCCGGUAAUCCCCACCGGCCGUGAGAAGUCUAACCCUGACAUUGAUGUAGGACUCCGUGUGUGCAUCGAAAGUAUCCACCCCGCGCUCCGCCAGGCUUUCCAGCUCCCUGGACAGGAGCUUCAACACGCACCCAACACGCGGCCUCUCCCCCUCAUCCUUCUUUCGGGAACCUGGCAGGAUGCCAAGGACCGUUGUCACGCCGUGGGUGUACCUGAACCCAAGUUGGGCAGACAGGGUUGGCAAUGCAAUUGGAUGGAUGUGCAUGGCCCUACUGGGGGAUCCACUGACGACGGUGCCCCACCUUAUGUCUGGGCUGAAAUUGUAUGCUGUGAUGGCGACGGGGUACAGACUGUAACUAGCAUCGUCCUUGUAUGCCUGGACUCCAUCAGUGAAGACACCGAGGAGGAUGUCCGUGUCACGCAGGGGAGGCUGUCCACCUUGCUCAGAUUCCUUCAUGACGAUGUAAGCCUUGCCGUCUGUGAUGUCACAGAUGAACCCGUCUGGCAACCCACGUUCGGCAGCAGAUUUCGCAUGAUGCCUGAUUUCCUUGGAGUAGUGCUUCGAAGCAAAAAGCCUCCGAAUGUAGUCCGUGACACUUCUGCAGGGGAGAGGGGGGGGCGGCGUGGGGCAGGGUGGGCAGCUGUAGGUGAGCAGGCAUGGGCCAACUGGCUACUCAUACACAUGCACCAAUUGCAGUAGGCGCGGCAAAUGUUCAGGUACGCAUUAGCAAGAGCAGACAGUGAGGUGCGGUAUUGUCGGUGCUCUGGGCUCAAAUCAGGAAGCAGGAUCCAUCAAUCAGAGCACGCACCUGUAGAUGAAUUUUUUCGUGUUCCCCGCUCGCAGGCACCCACAUUCAGGAUUAAGACACACGGUGCUCUGGUGAUCGUCCCCUGCAUACAAACUCCCACACAUCACACAGUACUCGUAUGAUACGUAUCGGCAGUCUUCUUGGGUCAGGACUCGCUGAUCCUGGAGGAACGUCAGGAACUGGGCAUACUUGGUUGGCCUCUCAUCCUCUGGGAUCUUGCACCGCUUGUACUGAAGCUUCAUGAUAUCCUCACAUGCAGCCUGCGUAAGCUUGUUUUUGGACUUGAUUGCGAGCAUAUCGAGCAAGUCGGCGGAGAGGUUGGUAUAAAGUUUGCUCUUGUUUGUCCAGUCCACAUUAGGAAUCCUCCACUCUGUAUAAGAGCAGGUGAGUGUCCCCCCAUCACCACGCCCCGGCACGUAUGCCUCGUAAUCCACGCGUACUGCAGGCUCAUGGUGGUCAUGUCCCUGGCUAGGGGACGUGGGUGAAGCAGCUUCCAUGUCUGUAUUUUCGGUCGUGUCCAUGUCGUCAGGGGGUUCGUCCCAGUCAUCUUCGUCGGUCCCUGGGGUGGGAUGGGAUGGGAUUGAUUGAAGGGGUUUUGAGGAGCGACUCUUCACAAAUGGGCAACCGCCAAUCCCGACCCUGCCCUCGACCACGGAGUCUCACCCCCAGCUGUAUCUGGUGUGAUGAGUACCACAGCAUGCGGCAGAGUUGGAGGUUGCUGCAUUGUGAUCGGCGGGGCUGCGGUCGGAUCCAGGAGUCUGUCAGGUUGUCCAAUGGCCCGAGUGUAUGAUGCCGCUACAUAUGCAGGGUCCGCUGAGGCAGGCAGGGAGCGCACACCGCCCCCCCCCCCCAGUGGCGCCGGUGGCGUCGGGAUGCAUCAGCAGUCACCAAGCCGGCAGAUGUAUCCGAUGUCUGUUGGACAUUUGCCGCGCAUUGGGGGCAAAGACAAUACACCAAGUCGCUGGUGCGGGUGGCGCCGAGAUUAUUCGUUGUCACUGUCCCAAAAGCGACCAGCACCAGGAAGCCCAACAUGACCAAAGUCAGAGUGUACACCAACCAGUCAUCCUCCACGGGUUGCUUCUUUAUAUCAAGGGCGCCAAGCGGCCGGACCAUUGUCAGCAGAUUAUUGGAGCAUGGAUUCCGCUGUCUUUUAUCUAGUGAGAUAAAGUGCCUGCAUGGCUGAGCUGAUGGACAAACAAUGGUGCACUUCGAUCGUGGCAGCGGUCUUGACUGUGUACAUUCAUAAGACAAUCUUGGUCGAUUUAAAAAUGCUGACGAGAACAGUUGGCCGUGUUUUUGAAUUUGGAUCUCGAGACACCUUCGAAUUUUGGAUCAAGACGCAGUCGCAAAUGCAACAUUUCCAUUCAGCUGGUACUUCUACUCUGUUUAACCGGUAGCACUUAGCUCUCUUUAACACUUAGCUCUCUUCGUCGGAGAUAGAAUCUUACAAGGACAGGAGCGACAGCAACAAAACAAAGCAGCAAGCGCCCAGCUAACGGAAAGACCACCUUGCUGACAUUUGCCCUCACAGCACCGGCCCGAACCUCACAGGAUCGACAACGACUGCCAACACCUUGAACAUGUGGGGAGGAGGAAUGCAAACCCCCACAAAACGGAAACCAUACGCAAAGCACUCUCAACACUGUGCUUAGGAUUCACAGGGACUGACGGAAAGACCUAGCACAAGCACACCAGGGCACACACAAGGGCGCCACCCUGCCGGUCUGACCAUCAAGUCCCAGGCUAGACAGAACACGAGCACGUCUCAACCCAUUCAUGGGCCAGCUGCACGGUGGCAACACCGCCAGCUCAGCGGGUUUGUGGUCAUUCACCAGCCACAGCCAGGACUCCAGUCUCACCAGCCCCAAACGUUUGGGGUUAACCCCGCCCUCUCACACUCGAACUACAAGCUGGCCGCUCAUAGAUGGAAUCUGCCUGGCCACUGUGGAAUGGCAUCCGUGUGCAUAUUCAAUGCUCAGGAGAGGUGGAAUAGCCGACGGAGCUCCUUGUGGACAUAAGCCAGGCUGUAUGUCUCAUUUUCCAGAUCACCACCCUGAACAUACCAGUGGAGGCGCGGGCUCCAGGUGCCAGCCUUGCCAGCCGCCCCAGCAUGCACAGUGUUGCCAUGCAGGAAAAUGAUCUGGCCAGGCUGUCCCCGCAUCCUCAUGACUGGGUGACUCGGGAGGUGCGACACGAACCUCAGGGCUGUCUCGUCCGGCAGGGUCAAUGUGUUCGCCAGGGACAGGCCUGAUGGCGUGCCACCCCGCCCCGCCCCCUGACCGCUGUGGGGGCUGGCCUCCCCACCUGCCGCACUGCUUCUGUCGGCUCUGCUUGCAUCACCUGCUUCGGCAUCAUCUGCUGCUGCAGCAGCAGCUGCAGCAGCAGGCUCUGCCCGAGCAGCAAACGCCUGCACAGUGUGGUGGCUCCCUGGGCUCACCCACAGCUCGAUGUCCUGCUCCAAUGGCACGAUUGCAACAAACGACAUCCCUCUGCCAGGCUGCAUGUCCACGUGCAGCGUCUGCCGACGAAUGGGGGCUGUGCCGCCAGGGUUGUUGCCAAGGAUCACACCAGGCUUGACCAGGUGCAAGCCAGGGAUCCGCUCCACUAUGUCUUGGAUAACACCCUCCACGUAGGAUGCUAUGUUCGACAGGCUAGGCCCCGGCUGCACCUUGUCCAGCUUGACCAUCAUACGCCUCCCGGUUCCAUUGCUGAGUCGGAGCCUGCCCUCAUGGGUAAGCCGUGGUAGCCCUCCCUGCCGCGAGGGAAGGUCCCCACGCUGAAAUAUUGCUGCUGCCUUAUCGCCUGACACGAGCUCAGUGGUGCUUGUGGGAACAUCAGGAGUGAUCAGAGAGGCGAGGUGGGGAUCGUCUACUACCGCAAACCCCUCCUUGUCAAGCAUCACCGGGACCAUGUCUAUCGUGUGCUUGAAAAGGUCUGUUUCGAGUACAUGGCUGUCCUCUGGUUCCGGCUCAGAUUCCACGUCCGAGUCCGAUGAUGACUGGAUGGCCCGGUUCCUGGUGGGCCUUCGCCGAUGGCGAGACUCCCGAUAGGACACCACCGCACCAGCCAUGCGGCGGAUCUCUCGCUCAAGGUGUGCUUCAUCAUUGGGCAGCAGUCUCCUCCUCUCGUCUGCUGCUUGAGCAGCCGCCUCACCGCCACGGGCAUCCUCAGGCGCCGGCGGUGGCAGCUGCACAGUAGCAGAGGCGCCCCCCUCCUGCAGGCCGCAUUGCACGGAGUAAUGCACAGGAGGCACGUUGGGUUCACCAGGCUGGUCAACGGGCAGUGUCAUGCGGUGCACCCGUUGUGUGCUCUGUGGUGUACCCUCCCUCACACGGACCGCCCCGCCCCUCAGGCUCCACCCCCUCGUGCUGCUCCUGUGGAGUGUCAUUUGGUGCACCCGUUGCAUGCUCUGUGGUACACUGGUGUACCCUCAAUUAUGUAGACCGACCCCGCCCCUCAGGCUCCCCCACCUCCUGUCUUACCGUGCACGGAAACCGUGGGCUGGGCAUGGCAGCUCGUCCUGCAGCCGACGGGGAUGGCACAGCAGCCGCCUCACCGCCACGGGCGUCCUCCUCCUGCAGGCCGCGUCACACAGAGUGAUGCACAGGAGGCAUGACACGUUCGCCAAGGUUGGUCGACGAGCAGUCAUGGCAGCGGGAAGCAGACUUGCACCGAAGCCUUGGUAUACCGGAGUACACCACAGAGAACACAGCAAGCAAGUGCAUCUGAGGAUGCCCCCCUUCGUGCCAUCCCCAGCCGACACACUCCACCCCCUCGUGCUGCUCCUGUGGAGUGUCAUUUGGUGCACCCGUUGCAUGCUCUGUGGUACACCGGUGUACCCUCAAUUAUGUAGACCGACCCCGCCCCUCAGGCUCCCCCACCUCCUGUCUUACCGUGCACGGAAACCGUGGGCUGGGCAUGGCAGCUCGUCCUGCAGCCGACGGGGAUGGCACAGCAGCCGCCUCACUGCCACGGGCGUCCUCCUCCUGCAGGCCGCGUCACACAGAGUGAUGCACAGGAGGCAUGACAGGUUCGCCAAGGUUGGUCGACGAGCAGUCAUGGCAGCGGGAAGCAGACUUGCACCGAAGCCUUGGUAUACCGGAGUACACCACAGAGAACACAGCAAGCAAGUGCAUCUGAGGAUGCCCCCCUUCGUGCCAUCCCCAGCCGACACACUCCACCCCCUCGUGCUGCUCCUGUGGAGUGUCAUUUGGUGCACCCGUUGCAUGCUCUGUGGUACACCGGUGUACCCUCAAUUAUGUAGACCGACCCCGCCCCUCAGGCCUGCCCACCUGCUGUCCUGCCAUGCGUGGAUACCGUGGAGCGGCAUCAUCUGUAUCAUUGCGUCCCCUGUCUAUCUCCCGUUGCUGCUCCUCAUCGUCCGCCACCAGCCGGGUCAUGUUUGGGGCCCGCUUUCGCUUCCUGGUCUCGUUGCACACACCAAAGCCUAGAUGAACCAGCUCCUCUGACUGCAGGAGCAGCGACAGGGGACGGACGGGGGUCAGGGAGACCGCACGACACUCAAGGUGCGACCAUACUCCCCCCUGCCAUGCAUGAGCUUGGUCUUGAUCUCACCCAUAAUCCUACCUGUUCGCCUGCUUCUGAAGGGGCCAGCCCAUUGCUCUGGCCAGCACCAGAGACCUCUGUGCCAUCCUCGGACACCCCAUACUCGCCAGCAUCACCAGUGCCACCGUGCUUCACCGGGUCCACCAUGGCAGCAUCACCUCCCUGGGUGGAUGGUGACAGGCAAGAAGAUCGUGCGUGUGUGUUAUGGGUGCGGGAAGGAUGGAAGGCCGCGGGCCGGCGACAGGGCAGUGGUACAUACCUCAGCUCCCCCGGAGGUCACCACCUCCUCACCAGCCUUCAAAGCUUCUUCAUUCCCCUGUGACAUACACAAUCUGUUUGUAAAGGUGCCCAUGCAUAUUGCUCCCCGCCCCAGCCCUGGAGCUGGAAACCCACCGUUGUCAUGGUCCUGUCAGCCGCGCUGGCUGCCUGUGACGUGAUGACACUGGCGGCACGGAGGUGAAGCGCAAAGCUUGAAGCGGCAUGCUCAGACAAAGCCGUGCUGCGUGCAGGGACCCCUGGCAUGGUACACAACCCGCUGCUGUGCUCAGGGAGGCUGCCAGCGGCGUGCUGGCUGCCUGGCAGCCCACACUCAGCAGCUAUCGGCGGCAAAGCUGCUGCAUUCUUGAUGAUCUGCAUGUGUGCAGGCACCCUGGCUUCAGCUGAGACAACCUGGGCGGAACAAAGGCAGGUAGCAUACCUCAUCAUACAGCCGAGUCCAUGGCCGCAUGGGCCAAUGGUACAUCAUGUUGUCCUCGCGACCAAUCUGUCCUUGGGCUGGUGUGGUGUGUCUUAUGUGGUCCCGGACAAACACCAGAGCGGCAUCAUGGCUCAUGCCCCUGAUCCGCUCUUUGUACUCGUUUGUCUUCAUCGCCAAUCCUUCACGGAUGUACCUCUUAAGGCUCUCCUCCUUGGCGCCACUACCAAGCAUUCCGACUAGCGUCCUCUCCACCUGUGAGGACGGACACAAUCUGUUUGCGCGCCGAACACUUCUCAACAACAACCUGGCACAGUAUUCACCUGAUUGCCAGCCGAGAAUCUCAUUGAUACGAGAUCGUCUGGCUUGCUGCGCCUUGGAACUGUAGCAACCCACUCAAUGCCAUCGACAAUAACUAUGAAGGUUUCUCCGGCGCGGCACUGUGCAAGUUCACACGCAAAGUUAAACACUUCACGUUUAAGGUGUUGGCCUAUUUGUCUCUUCUGUAAGUAAAGGUCGCGUAUCUGCAUUAAGGUACCAGAUGGUGACAUUUUCACAGCAAUCUCAUAGUGCUAAACCAGUGAUGUUUCUUAUUGGUGCUGCAAAUUGUCCAAAUGUUCACAUGACUUCUGGGCAGCAAGAGGUGAAAUGCCGUACAAUUCCGGACCCGGGUCCGGAAGUGUACGGCAUCUUAAAAAUUAUGCUGAAUCCUGGUCUUAACUUCGCAGAAUUGGACAGUACCAAUGAAUCGAAGCAUAUGUGCUCAUAUUUUGUAGAUGACAUCCAGGCAGAAUAGUCCAAAUAGCGGACAGGGGUCCUCGAGGUCUGUGUCCCCAGAACGGUCGUUGAGGAACACACUUGAAGAAGAGAGAGCUCUCAUCAUCCAGAGGAAUUUAAAGAAGCUAGAAAGCCUUGGACUACAGGUCGCCAGGCCUUCAAGCAAGCCUCCAUCUCGUCCGCCAAAACAGCGCUCACAACGAGGAGCUGAAGAAGGACACCCUCGACAAUCAGCACGUAUUGCUACUAUGCCUGCUGCGACAAAGAGGAAAGCCGCUGCCACCGAGGGUGCAGUCCGCAAUAAGGUAUGACCGGGUCCAGAUCGGGUCAAACCAUUCAUUUCCCUUCAUACGGUUACCGCAGACCAUUUCUCUCAUUCCAAUUUUCCAAAUUAUACUGUUUUACGCGAUCUGGGUUACAAAUGUUUCUCUUAGGUUCAUGUUUCCAAUCACGUGCAUUUUCACGGGAUGCCUUGCUCCAUGUCAAUGUCGGCAAAUAAAAUGAAUGCAUGCAAAGACAACAGAUAUCUGGGCUCGAUCCCAACCCAUUUCCUCCGUGCGGUGCAGAAAAAACGGCCCAGGACCGAUGAUGAUGCAGCCGUGGAAGCUGUUGUGGAGGUCGCACCUGACCCCGACGCCUUCCUCAGCAUCUUCACUGAUGCACAAAAACAGCAUGCUAGUUCACACGGCCUUAUGCUGAACACUGAGGCCGGCCGUGUCCUGGCGGCCAUCCUUAGCUGGCCAUCCCAGUACACCCUGUCUGCAAGCAACGAGGGUACUUUCCUUCGUGCCUACGAGGUCUGUGAGAAGCUCUGCGACGUGGCCGGUCUAUGUGGGGACGACUUCACCGAUCCAAGGCGGCAGGCUGCAACGGCGUUCACAGAUCAACUUGUGACCGUCCUGAAGGAGGGGCCCAAGCCGCUCAAGCCCGUGGAGCUUCAGCGCCUCUCCGCCGGCCUGGCAGCUAUGUGCGGGGGUGGCGGGGGUCGUGCAAAGAAGCCCAAGCAGUCCAGCACGCGCUGCUGCAGGACCAGCACCACCCUUACAGACCGCAUUCUUGACGACUUCCAGGACGACUUCCUUGCUACGAGCAUCUUCGAAAACAUCGAGGUGGGUGUGUGGGUGGGGUUUCAUGGUGUACAAUCUAUUCCUAUCCACUGGCUCAUUGACAUUCUUCAUCGAACAAGCACCAUGUCCUAGAGGGAGAAACCAGAUAUCCACACCACAGUGCAUGCCGCCAGGUCUAGCGCAGAUCUACACCACAAUGCAUUGUUGUUUGUGCUUUUGCAGAACUUGAAGCCGCGCCUGGCAAAGAUUGUUGCGGACUUUGGGGGGGUUGAUAAAGUUGCUUCCCUGGUGGGCAUGAAGAAGCACGAAAAGGUCACGGAGGACCUCGUCUUUGAUAAGCUGCGCGGCGCCACUAAGACCAAGUGGAGGAACACACGGCACCUAAAGAAAGGAGGUGUGAUGGGGUUUUUCUAUACAGAUUUGGUGUACUUUAGUUUGCUAAAAUUACACCAGGCAAUCUCUGUAUUGUGUUCGAGAUUAUCUCUAUAUUAUUUAAGUGGACUAUAAUAUAGUCCACAUAUGGCCAGCAACAUGCUCGGAAUUUCUUGCUCUCCUAUGACUUCUGGGUUUGGAUACCUAUUAGGCGACCUAGCAACUAACGUGUGCAGUGUCUAUGUAUGCAGGCCACGCAUCUGAGGAGGAGGAAGAGGAGGAGGAGGAGAACACCAAGGCCAACGAGGAGGUCAAGGCCAAAGCUGUCGAAGAUGAUGAUGAGGGCAGCCCACCCGUUGAAAACAUCCAGCCGGAGGCAGCCCCUGACAAUGGCACAGAGCCUGGACCCAGCGGGGACAACAGGGACGCUGGGGCUGGGGCUGCUCUGCCAGCUGUUCACCAGGGCAUGUGGCAGGCCCUGCUGGACGACAAUGACAAAGAGCUGCAACGCUACACAGCUGCUGACGGGCACCUUGCGUACCUGCAAGAAUGUGACCUCGUGGGGAAGACCAAGGGCUGCUUCCUUGUUGGAGCACGUAAGAAGAAGGACAUCAAGCCCGAGGCUUUGGGGGCUGGAUUACUAUUGGGCGACCUGGUAAGCUUACAUGCUGUCUGACAGGCGGUCUGCUGUGUGUCUGUAUGUGUUCGUACCCUAACAAAGAACUUCCGUCUGCGUGCUUGUAACUGCCGCCUGGCCUCUUACCCCCUAUGAACAUACAGGAUGGCGAGACCGCUGACGGCUGCACUGAUCUCCUGGUGAUUGGCCGCGCCAUGGCAGUCAUCAAGGACCUUGGCACUGUGCACAUUCCCCCGACUGGCCAGUCCUUUGCACUAAACGACCGGCCACUCCGCCUCUUCCAGAAGGUAAAUCAAGGUUGAGCUGAGAUACCGUGUCUGCAUCACAUGUGUUGACUUUGUUCUGGUUGCUUCUGUCUGCAGGUGCGAUGGCCCAUUGUGGGAUUGCUCGCAGUCAAGGGCAAGAUGACCGCAGUCCAGUGGGCCAUGAGGACCACUGGGCUGAGCAAGAAGCAGUUGGAUGCAGUGGACUUGGAGUGAUACACGCCCUGUUAGGAACCACCUUAGGUGUGGGAAGUGUAGGCGGUGUGUGGGGCUGUACUUGGCUAUUGGGCUGUCCUGUCCAUGCGCCUAGUUGCGCCUAGUUGCGAGUAGUUAGCAUAGGCCUUGUGAUCGCGUUCAGGGAUCCAUCAUAACACUCAUUCAUUUGGUAUGCUGCAGUACCAUAUGCAGUUCCAGCAUGGAUCGAGCGUGUGAUUGUAGAUAUGUUGUAGGUAUAAGUGCUGGCAUGGUGGACCUGACCUCAUAUGUGUGUCUGCCCGAAUGGGAAAGUGGUCUGCUGUGAGAAUCGGGCUCUAGUGAGAUGGUGGCCCUAGGUUUUUGUUGGGCAUACCUCUGUUUGAAGGCGCCCUUAAGAACGGUUUAAGAAUGCUGGGGGACGGAAUGCUUGAGAACACUGUAACAACGCUUGAGAACGCUGCAAGAAUACUUGAGAAUGCUGUGAGAACGCUUGAGAACGCUGUAAGAGCGCUUGAGAAUGCUGUAAGAACGCUUAAGAAUGGUGAGAGAACGGUGUAAGAACGCUUGAGAACGCUGUAAGAACGCUUAAGAAUGGUGAGAGAACGGUGUAAGAACGCUUGAGAACGCUUUAAGAACGCUUAAGAAUGGUGAGAGAACGGUGUAAGAACGCUUGAGAACGCUUUAAGAACGCUUAAGAAUGGUGAGAGAAUGCUGUAAGAACGCUUGAGAACGCUUUAAGAACGCUUAAGAAUGGUGAGAGAAUGCUGUAAGAACGCUUGAGAACGCUUUAAGAACGCUUAAGAAUGGUGAGAGAACGGUGUAAGAACGCUUGAGAACACUGUAAGAACGCUUAAGAAUGGUGAGAGAACGCUGUAAGAACGCUUGAGAACGCUUUAAGAACGCUUAAGAAUGGUGAGAGAACGGUGUAAGAACGCUUGAGAACGCUUUAAGAACGCUUAAGAAUGGUGAGAGAACGGUGUAAGAAUGCUUGAGAGUGGUGAAAGAUUGCUUAAGAAUGCGUGAGAAAAUGGUUUGAGAAUGUCCUUGAGAACGGGUAAGAUCGCUGAGAACGCUUGAGAUUCCCUGCAAAGAGCGCUCUCUUGAGAUCGCUUAAGAACGCUUGAGAAGGCACAAUCUUAAAACAUGGCAGAUAAGAGCGUUCUCAGAACGCUCUUAACAGCGGCAUCUACUUGUGCUUUAUAUGGCUUAAGAUCGCGUUGAGAGCGCUCUUAAAGCGGUUUCAUUUUGGUAGGGGUAUUUGAUUAAAUGGGAAGGUUACGACUCUAGUCAUAAUACCUAUGAACCAGAGGAAUCCCUUCGCCAGUCUACUCCCUUGGCGGAAUCCAUCGACGAAUAUGAACGCAAACUUGCGUCUAAGAAGCACCCUCAAGCCCCGGAAAAACCUAAGGGACGGAAAACUUCUAAGAAGAAGUAACGCUCCCGGGACGGUUCACUUCAGAGGGGGAAGACUGUAGCAGGCUACAUUUCCCUUAGAAUAUUUCAACAAUUACUUUUAACAAUAACUGUUAAUUCGUUAACGAUUCGUCUCAAGUUUCGUACAUGUUACGAGCUUCGUCACAUGUACCGAACAUGGCGGUUGUUCGUAAGUGAACCUAACGGGCUGGGGCCCCGGGCCCCACCAACAUUAUCCUAGUACGGCAAGUCCGUGGUAGGGAAUCUCCGGCAGGUAGGCCGAGAUAUAAGCUNNNNNNNNNNNNNNNNNNNNNNNNNNNNNNNNNNNNNNNNNNNNNNNNNNUUCGUACCCUAAAAAGAACUUCCGUCUGCGUGCUUGUAACUGCCGCCUGGCCUCUUACCCCCUAUGAACAUACAGGAUGGCGAGACCGCUGACGGCUGCACUGAUCUCCUGGUGAUUGGCCGCGCCAUGGCAGUCAUCAAGGACCUUGGCACUGUGCACAUUCCCCCGACUGGCCAGUCCUUUGCACUAAACGACCGGCCACUCCGCCUCUUCCAGAAGGUAAAUCAAGGUUGAGCUGAGAUACCGUGUCUGCAUCACAUGUGUUGACUUUGUUCUGGUUGCUUCUGUCUGCAGGUGCGAUGGCCCAUUGUGGGAUUGCUCGCAGUCAAGGGCAAGAUGACCGCAGUCCAGUGGGCCAUGAGGACCACUGGGCUGAGCAAGAAGCAGUUGGAUGCAGUGGACUUGGAGUGAUACACGCCCUGUUAGGAACCACCUUAGGUGUGGGAAGUGUAGGCGGUGUGUGGGGCUGUACUUGGCUAUUGGGCUGUCCUGUCCAUGCGCCUAGUUGCGCCUAGUUGCGAGUAGUUAGCAUAGGCCUUGUGAUCGCGUUCAGGGAUCCAUCAUAACACUCAUUCAUUUGGUAUGCUGCAGUACCAUAUGCAGUUCCAGCAUGGAUCGAGCGUGUGAUUGUAGAUAUGUUGUAGGUAUAAGUGCUGGCAUGGUGGACCUGACCUCAUAUGUGUGUCUGCCCGAAUGGGAAAGUGGUCUGCUGUGAGAAUCGGGCUCUAGUGAGAUGGUGGCCCUAGGUUUUUGUUGGGCAUACCUCUGUUUGAAGGCGCCCUUAAGAACGGUUUAAGAAUGCUGGGGGACGGAAUGCUUGAGAACACUGUAACAACGCUUGAGAACGCUGCAAGAAUACUUGAGAAUGCUGUGAGAACGCUUGAGAACGCUGUAAGAGCGCUUGAGAAUGCUGUAAGAACGCUUAAGAAUGGUGAGAGAACGGUGUAAGAACGCUUGAGAACGCUGUAAGAACGCUUAAGAAUGGUGAGAGAACGGUGUAAGAACGCUUGAGAACGCUUUAAGAACGCUUAAGAAUGGUGAGAGAACGGUGUAAGAACGCUUGAGAACGCUUUAAGAACGCUUAAGAAUGGUGAGAGAAUGCUGUAAGAACGCUUGAGAACGCUUUAAGAACGCUUAAGAAUGGUGAGAGAAUGCUGUAAGAACGCUUGAGAACGCUUUAAGAACGCUUAAGAAUGGUGAGAGAACGGUGUAAGAACGCUUGAGAACACUGUAAGAACGCUUAAGAAUGGUGAGAGAACGCUGUAAGAACGCUUGAGAACGCUUUAAGAACGCUUAAGAAUGGUGAGAGAACGGUGUAAGAACGCUUGAGAACGCUUUAAGAACGCUUAAGAAUGGUGAGAGAACGGUGUAAGAAUGCUUGAGAGUGGUGAAAGAUUGCUUAAGAAUGCGUGAGAAAAUGGUUUGAGAAUGUCCUUGAGAACGGGUAAGAUCGCUGAGAACGCUUGAGAUUCCCUGCAAAGAGCGCUCUCUUGAGAUCGCUUAAGAACGCUUGAGAAGGCACAAUCUUAAAACAUGGCAGAUAAGAGCGUUCUCAGAACGCUCUUAACAGCGGCAUCUACUUGUGCUUUAUAUGGCUUAAGAUCGCGUUGAGAGCGCUCUUAAAGCGGUUUCAUUUUGGUAGGGGUAUUUGAUUAAAUGGGAAGGUUACGACUCUAGUCAUAAUACCUAUGAACCAGAGGAAUCCCUUCGCCAGUCUACUCCCUUGGCGGAAUCCAUCGACGAAUAUGAACGCAAACUUGCGUCUAAGAAGCACCCUCAAGCCCCGGAAAAACCUAAGGGACGGAAAACUUCUAAGAAGAAGUAACGCUCCCGGGACGGUUCACUUCAGAGGGGGAAGACUGUAGCAGGCUACAUUUCCCUUAGAAUAUUUCAACAAUUACUUUUAACAAUAACUGUUAAUUCGUUAACGAUUCGUCUCAAGUUUCGUACAUGUUACGAGCUUCGUCACAUGUACCGAACAUGGCGGUUGUUCGUAAGUGAACCUAACGGGCUGGGGCCCCGGGCCCCACCAACAUUAUCCUAGUACGGCAAGUCCGUGGUAGGGAAUCUCCGGCAGGUAGGCCGAGAUAUAAGCUACCCGGGCGGGGUGCUCUGGCCAGACACUGACGUAUCACAUUACUAGGUGUUCGGAGUUCAAGACUCUGCUGCCGCCGUCUCUGAUUGUGUUCGUACGCGUCUAUGUACACUAGUGCUUGCCGCUUGGUUGGACUUCUUCCCACUCCGGCGAGGACUGUAAACUCUACGCUUCCGCUAAGUCAGUCGACCCGCCAGGUGAGCGACUGCUACAGACCGGGAUCAGCGGUCCAACAUUGCUAUCCAUUUUCUUCGGAGCCCCGGCUCUAAUAUUCCCCCGUCUGCUCGGCUUUGGGACGACUCACCUGAGCAAGACGACACUCAACCAGCUUCCAUGUUGACGGCCGAGGCAUCAAUACAGUGGCCUGAGACGCCCACACCACAAGGGCAGAUAUCGCCUGCGGCUAUCAGUAGAGGCUCCGCGCCUGAGACCAUUGAUUCACCUGUGGGAAGCAGCGGAGAGUUCAGUGAUGGUGAUUCAACAACCCGUGGGAACAUGGACAUGGAACACAUCAUCGACAUCCUUGUACGGCAAGCACUUAGGUCAGACGAGAUUCCGUCGGAAAGUGCCUCCAGCGGUGAAUGGGCUGCGGAUGCAUGGAGUACCGACAGCGUCACCAGUUCUGGCACUGAAGAGGCUUGGGCAAAUGUCUGGCCUGGAGAUGUGUCUGAGUACGACAACGACUCGCACUCUGGUCCUGGACCGCCAAUAUCGACCCCUGCGGAUCCGUUCCGUUCUUUUCCUGAAACUAUUCCUGUCUUGAGCUCUCAAGAGCUCCUGUUACCACGACUGCUAACUGAGGAGCGUAUUUCUGUUACCCACAACCAUGCUGCAGCAGCACAGUUUGAUGCGAAUAUGCCAGCUGCCCUUGCCCCAGAGGCUUGGAUCAUGACGGACAUUUGGAGGAGGCUCAUUUUCGCGUGUUGGUAGCCCGUGCGGUUCGGCCAGUCAAGAGCCCUACCCCUGCGCUACACGAGUUGCUAAGCAACAAAGUAAACACCGAUCUUCAGUACCCUGAACACCAGCAGCUGGUCACAUGUUUGACUGACAGCUUUGACAUGUUCACCUUAACCAACCGAGAGCUAGGGCUUACGUCCUGGGUGUCCAUGAAGGUGGACAUGGGAGAUCAUCCUCCUAUCGUGCAGAAUCCUUACCGUCUGUCACGGACGGAGAAAGCCACCGUUGAUGCUGAGAUGCGGCAGAUACUACAGGACGGGAUUAUCGAACUGGUCAACAGUCCUUGGGUGUCUCCAGUCGUAGUCGUCCCCAAGAAAAACGGAGAACUCCGGCCCUGUGUGGAUAUGCGGAGGGUCAACGAUGUCACUAAGGACAUUCGGUUUCCGAUAGGCCACAUCCAGGAUAGAUUAGAUAUUGCUGCACCUCCAGGUGGCGAGACUCGUUACUACUCCAGCCUGGACUUGAAGUCAGGCUACUGGCAAGUCCCGAUGGCGGAUGAGGCUUCUAAGGAGCGUACGGCAUAUGUGUGAAUGCCCAUGGGUCUAAAGGGAGCGGCCGCUGUGUUCGCUACCCUGAUGCACAAGGUUCUGGACCCACUACUAGAGGAUUCGCCUCCACCCCCUGCUUUGUUGGAUAGCCCACCGCAGGAACGGUGUGUAGUGGUCUAUCUGGAUGAUAUCCUUAUCUUCAACCCGACACUACAAGAUCAUGUACGACAUCUUCAGCAAGUGUUCGACCUUCUCCGAAUGGCUGGUCUCAAGAUCGCAGCUAAGAAGUGCACGUUUGGCCAACAACGCGUGGUUUUUCUUGGUCACCUACUUGACGGAGUACAUGGUGUUGUGGGCCCUAACCCCGCCAACGUCAUGAAAAUUGCGGAACUUCCGUCUCCAUCCAAUGUUCGUGAAGUACAAGCAUGGCUGGGAGCUGUUGGUUACUACCGGGAACUUAUCCCUGGCUUCGGCUUGAUUGCACAGCCAUUGUAUGCGCUACUUAAGCAGGGGACACCCUGGUGCUGGGGUCCAAGAGAAGAAGACGCUUUUUAAGAGCUAUGUAAUACUUUACUACGGGAGCCUGUUUUCCGUGCACCUGAUUUCCGACGGCCGUUCUUGGUCCAAGUCGACUGGUGCCCCACCACUGUUGCCGUGUGC
rnacentral:lncRNA from 1 species